AUUUGUAUGGUUAAUCAUGUCCAAUGCAAGCAAAUUGGACUUUCAUGUUAUUUGCAGGUGUAACAACGAGAGUGUGAACUGCCACAAGAAAUGCUUACACCACGAGUCCCAAAAUAUUCCGAAACUAUUAGCUGAAAUUCAAAGCAAGAAGAAAGAAAGGAUAUUCAACUCAUUAAAGCCACUCCAUUGUAACUACAAAAGAGGGAUAAAUCAAAAGAACAAACCAAGAAAAUCCCUUCUUAUUCACAACAUAUAACAUUGAACCCAUUAGUAAAGGGUGGAGAAGAAGAGAGCAAGAGGAAAAUUGAACUGAAAUAGAUGCUGAAAAAGCGAAAUAUCCGAUCUAGGGAAGAAAAAAUAAUCGAAGAACAACAGAGGACUCACCGAUGAGAAGAAUAAUUACUAACAGUUAAAGGAACUGAACGCAAAUAAAUCCACGAAGACGAUGGUGAAGAUAACGAAGUGUGAAUUCGUCUUAGAGCUUUCAUUUACUUCAAUUUUCUCUAAUUUUCACCCUUCCUCACUACUUUGAAAACAAGAAUCGGGUUUUCUUUAUACUUGUUAGAAAUUGCAAAUUUUCUUCACAAAAUCAAAGAAACUGAAUUCUUCUUUUCUCAUUUAUUACCUAAAAGCCUUGUAGAAUAUGGCGAACACCGCAAAUCCGGCCAAGGCAGUCACGGCUACAGCCGUUCUAUUCUGAGGAGCUGCGACCACCGCCCACAAGAAUUCUCCAGCAGCGCCUCCGCCGGAGCUAGGGAUUCCAUUGGGACUGUUAUUGCCGGAGUUGAACAUUGAGUAGAUCGGAGAAAUUGGUGGAAUUGAAUGCGGUUCUUCUUCUUGUUGUUGUUCUUAUAUAGAAGAAAUUGACGUGAACGUAUUCAGGUUUAGAUUCUGAAGGGUUCGUUUCUUUCAACUUAGAGUUUCCCACUCCUCAAGGAAGGAAGGGAAGAAAGAUGAAAGCAGUGUAAACGAAUCUGCCGGACGACGACGUCGGAGAGUACAAAUUAUUCGCCGCCGGUCAUUAGCUGCAGAGGUCAUUAGCGAAAGUGUUGAUUAAUUAACAAAUUUUAGGAAUUGAAAAUGGUAAAUUUGAA
rnacentral:misc_RNA from 1 species